rnacentral:pre_miRNA from 1 species
AGGUUUCUGAAUCCGCGCACAGAUUUCAUCAGACACCGACCCAUGAGGACUGAUCAGACUUCCAAGAUAAGUGAAGUU